GCAAGGUUGUGGCCCACAGCAGACGCUCCCCACGAGGUAGAGCCCGGUUUCCACACCUGGAGCAGCUGCACCUGGAAGUGGGGCUCAUCUCCAGACCUGAGCAGCUGCCUGCCCCAGGACAGAAGCCACCGCCCACAGCCAGUUUCCAGGAACCUGUGAUGAAAUUGAGGACUUGCUGUAUACCGUUAUCUGUUUGAAAGAAAUGUUGCAGAAGCAGAGAAUUGGACUGAGCUGUCACAUUGCCUAAAAGCUGGAGAACUCCGCCCUCUAGUGUCCGUCGCCACAGCAAGUGGGGCACUACGUUCCAUUUCCAAAGUGGAAAGACGGUGCCUUUAAAGAUGUAACCCCAACGGAGGUCAAGGUCUGAAAGGGGCAAAUUCUUUCCACGACUCCAGCCUGAUAAAGACACCCACAACCCUCUCGCCAUUUGCAAGAUUUGAUCCAAAACCAGCUUCUAACAGCUGCCAAACUAAAAUGCCUUAGAGACAUGGGGUAGCCAAGUUACAAACGCACGCUCCAUUUGAUGCAGCCAUUCCACCUCUAGAACUGUUCCCUACAAAUACAGAGGCGCACAUGUGCAGUCACCUGUGCACAAGACUACUGUU